rnacentral:snRNA from 1 species
UUGCUUUGGCAGCAUGUAAUACUAAAAUUGGAACGAUGAAGAGAAGAUUAGCAUGGCCCCUGCACAAGGAUGACACACAACUUUGUGAAGUGUUCCAUAUUUUU